ACGAACGCUGGCGGCGUGCCUAACACAUGCAAGUCGAACGGUGAAGCGCCUUCCUGUUUGGUGGGUGUGGAUGAGUGGCGAACGGGUGAGUAACACGUGAGUAACCUGCCCCCUUCUUCUGGAUAACCGCAUGAAAGUGUGGCUAAUACGGGAUAUUCUGGGUCUGUCGCAUGAUGGGUCUGGGAAAGAUAUGGUUUCGGUGGGGGAUGGGCUCGCGGCCGAUCAGCUUGUUGGUGGGGUGAUGGCCUACCAAGGCGGGGACGGGUAGACGGCCUGAGAGGGUAGACGGCCAGAGUGGGAGUAAGGCACGGCUGAGACUCAGACGGGACGCAGCCGUGGGGAGUAUUGCGCAAUGGGGGCAAGUGUGAUGCAGCGGCGCGGCGUGAGCGGUGACGGCGUUCGGGUGGUGAACCUCUUUCGCUAGUGAAGCAGGCCUGCCUCGUUUGUGGGUGGGUUGACGGUAGCUGGAUAAGAAGCGCCGGCUAACUACGUG
rnacentral:rRNA from 1 species